UCAAUUCCACUUGCAUUUGGAGUGCACUGCCCAAGCAUUGAAGGGAUGUUUGAAACGGUGUCCCUAUUGGGUUCCUCCGCAAGUAACCUGCUUCGAAGCCUAUGCAGAGAAGAAAAGCAUGUAUGUCAAGUUCACUAAAGAACCAUUUUCCUACCAAACCAACCUUGAUGAAGAGACAACUGGUGAUAUCAUGACUAACAAUUCAAGCGCACUAGUUAGACAGUUCAAGUUACAUGGUUUCAUUUUGAGAUGCUGGUUUCUGUGGAUCAUGAAUGCCAUAUCGAUUCAUGCAAGAGUACGGAGAGGCAUCCUGCAAUGCUUUUGGGUUUCUUUCCAGAUAUUUGGGAAUGGGAUUUCCAGUAGAAUGUCUGAAAAUACAAUGGAGCAUGUUAAGAAUUGUGUCUCUAAUUGUGCUUGAAGCUCUU